UACGGAGGGUGCAAGCGUUAUCCGGAAUCACUGGGUUUAAAGGGUGAGUAGGCGGAUAAAUAAGUCAGAUGUGAAAGCUUUCAGCUUAACUGGAAAACUGCAUUUGAUACUGUUUAUCUUGAAUCAAUUUGAAGUUAGCGGAAUGAGUCAUGUAGCGGUGAAAUGCAUAGAUAUGACUUAGAACACCAAUUGCGAAGGCAGCUAGCUAGGAUUGUAUUGACGCUGAGUCACGAAAGCGUGGGGAGCGAACAGG
rnacentral:rRNA from 1 species